GGGUCCUCUCUAGGAUCGCGGGAGGACUUUGCAUCCCUGUGUAGGGCUCUAAUCUCGAGUUUGGGGAUCUUGCUUCUCAGCUUGUCCGCUCCGAGGAGGUGCACAGGGCGGGGAAAAAGGGAUGAAUUUCCCUUUAUACCGCCCUGCUCAGAAACUUAUAUGUUCCUUCUAUUUUUCUUGAUGACAAUAAUUGUAAUAGUUACAAUAAAAAUAGUGAUUGUCUGUGGCAGAGGAGCUGAAUGAAACGAGGGUGGAGACAGGAAGAUCAAGAAUAAAUGGUUUCACAGAUCGAAGAGAUUGUCUCUUGAGACGCUGAUUAUGGCACCGUCAAGUCCAAUGUUUGCUCCUUUAUCACUGGCUGGCUCUCUAACCUACAGUCCUCCGUGAUGACAUCAUAGUCUCAGAACUUAUUCCUCCAGAUACAUCCUCAUAUUUCCUUCCAGUGUUCCAAGUCAUCGCUAAGAGCCAUUACAUUGCUACACACUGUA